UACGGAGGGUGCGAGCGUUGUCCGGAAUCACUGGGCGUAAAGGGCGCGUAGGCGGCCUGAUAAGUAGGGGGUGAAAUCCUGCGGCUUAACCGCAGGGCUGCCUUCUAAAACUGUCAGGCUAGAGCACAGUAGAGGCAGGUGGAAUUCCCGGUGUAGCGGUGGAAUGCGUAGAGAUCGGGAAGAACAUCAGUGGCGAAGGCGGCCUGCUGGGCUGU
rnacentral:rRNA from 1 species